CCGCUCUGCUGAAUUGCUUCGAGAACAAACAGGUGGAGAUGGAACAACCACUCAGAAAAGAAGAAAAAACCGAGGUUGCGACCCGCUACUCGCCGGAAAGAAGACGACCCCCAACGGGAUAAGCGGCGGCCAUGCCGGCUGCAGGAACGAACAAUAGACGGCGGGGUGGCCGCGCUUGAUUGUCGGAGUGAUGGUUUCUUU
rnacentral:lncRNA from 1 species